AGACGUCUACGUAGUUUGAUCCUGGCUCAGAUUGAACGCUGGCGGCAUGGCUAAUGCAUGCAAGUCGAAGAAAGCCCUUCGGGGCGAAAGUGGCGAAAGGGGCGAGUAAUACGAUCGAACGUACCCCCAAGGUGGAGGAUAGUGUCGGGAAACUGACGGUAAUACUCCAUGUGCUCUUCGGAGGAAAGCUUUGGCGCCUCGGGAGCGGCGAUCGUCCUAUCAGGUAGUUGGUGAGGUAAUGGCUCACCAAGCCGAAGACGGGUAGCGGGUGUGAGAGCAUGACCCGCCGCAUCGGGACUGAGACACUGCCCGGACUCCUACGGGAGGCUGCAGCGACGAAUCUUCCGCAAUGGGCGCAAGCCUGACGGAGCAAUGCCGCGUGUGGGACGAAGCGUCUUCGACGUGUAAACCACUGUCAGAAUCUAGGAACACUGACCAGAUUCAAAGGAAGGGCCGGCUAACCUCGUG
rnacentral:rRNA from 1 species